rnacentral:rRNA from 1 species
UCGAGAAUAAUUCACAAUGGGGGCAACCCUGAUGGUGCAACGCCGCGUGGAGGAUGACGGUCUUCGGAUUGUAAACUCCUGUCAUCCGGGAGUAAGACCUGGCUGUGAAUAGCAGACAGGGUUGAUAGUACCGGAAGAGGAAGGGACGGCUAACUUCGUGCCAGCAGCCGCGGUAAUACGAAGGUCCCGAGCGUUGUUCGGAAUCACUGGGCGUAAAGGGAGCGUAGGCGGCGUGGUAAGUCAGAUGUGAAAUCCCGGGGCUCAACCCCGGAACUGCAUCCGAUACUGCCGUGCUAGAGGAUUGGAGAGGUAGCUGGAAUUCUUGGUGUAGCAGUGAAAUGCGUGGAGAUCAAGAGGAACACUCGUGGCGAAAGCGAGCUACUGGACAAUAUCUGACGCUGAGGCUCGAAGGCCAGGUAGCGAAAGGGAUAGAUACCCCUGUAGUCCUGGCAGUAAACGGUGUGCGC